rnacentral:rRNA from 1 species
ACGCUGGCGGCGUGCCUAAUACAUGCAAGUAGAACGCUGAAGAGAGGAGCUUGCUCUUCUUGAAUGAGUUGCGAACGGGUGAGUAACGCGUAGGUAACCUGCCUUGUAGCGGGGGAUAACUAUUGGAAACGAUAGCUAAUACCGCAUAACAAUGGGUGGCACAUGUCAUUUAUUUGAAAGGGGCAAUUGCUCCACUACAAGAUGGACCUGCGUUGUAUUAGCUAGUAGGUGAGGUAACGGCUCACCUAGGCGACGAUACAUAGCCGACCUGAGAGGGUGAUCGGCCACACUGGGACUGAGACACGGCCCAGACUCCUACGGGAGGCAGCAGUAGGGAAUCUUCGGCAAUGGGGGCAACCCUGACCGAGCAACGCCGCGUGAGUGAAGAAGGUUUUCGGAUCGUAAAGCUCUGUUGUAAGUCAAGAACGAGUGUGAGAGUGGAAAGUUCACACUGUGACGGUAGCUUACCAGAAAGGGACGGCUAACUACGUGCCAGCAGCCGCGGUAAUACGUAGGUCCCGAGCGUUGUCCGGAUUUAUUGGGCGUAAAGCGAGCGCAGGCGGUUUGAUAAGUCUGAAGUUAAAGGCUGUGGCUCAACCAUAGUUCGCUUUGGAAACUGUCAAACUUGAGUGCAGAAGGGGAGAGUGGAAUUCCAUGUGUAGCGGUGAAAUGCGUAGAUAUAUGGAGGAACACCGGUGGCGAAAGCGGCUCUCUGGUCUGUAACUGACGCUGAGGCUCGAAAGCGUGGGGAGCGAACAGGAUUAGAUACCCUGGUAGUCCACGCCGUAAACGAUGAGUGCUAGGUGUUGGAUCCUUUCCGGGAUUCAGUGCCGCAGCUAACGCAUUAAGCACUCCGCCUGGGGAGUACGACCGCAAGGUUGAAACUCAAAGGAAUUGACGGGGGCCCGCA